rnacentral:rRNA from 1 species
UGGGGAAAUUUUGGACAAUGGGGGAAACCCUGAUCCAGCCAUGCCGCGUGUGUGAAGAAGGCCUUCGGAUUGUAAAGCACUUUAAGUUGGGAGGAAGGGUUUCUGGUUAAUACCCGGAAAUUUUGACGGUUACCGACAGAAUAAGCACCGGCUAACUUCGUGCCAGCAGCCGCGGUAAUACGAAGGGUGCAAGCGUUAAUCGGAAUUACUGGGCGUAAAGCGCGCGCAGGCGGUUUGGUAAGACGGAAGUGAAAGCCCCGGGCUCAACCUGGGAACGGCUUUUAAAACUGGCGAGCUAGAGUCCGGGAGAGGGCANUGGAAUUUCCUGUGUAGCGGUGAAAUGCGUAGAUAUAGGAAGGAACACCAGUGGCGAAGGCAACUGUCUGGGCUGAUACUGACACUCAGGCGCGAAAGCGUGGGGAGCAAACAGGAUUAAGAUACCCUGGUAGUCCACGCCCUAAACGAUGUCAACUAGUUGUUGGGAGGCUUUUGCCUUUAGUAACAAASUUAACCCAUUAAAUUUUACCCCCUUGGGAAGUCCGGCCGAAGGGUUA